UACGGGGGGGGCGAGCGUUGUCCGAAGUUACUGGGCGUAAAGCGCGUGUAGGCAGGUUGUUAAGUCCGCUGUGAAAGCCCGGUGCUCAACGCCGGAGGGUCGGUGGAUACUGGCAGUCUUGAAGUGGCUAGGGGGAAAUGGAAUUACCGGUGUAGCGGUGAAAUGCGUAGAUAUCGGUAGGAACACCAGUGGCGAAGGCGGUUUCCUGGAGCUAACUUGACGCUGAGACGCGAAAGCUGGGGGAGCAAACGGG
rnacentral:rRNA from 1 species